UUAAUAAUGGGUUAAAAUGCAUGAUGGCCUAUUGUGUGUGUAGUGUGGCUUUUAAUACUCUCCACCCUCAUUAUAAGGCUCUCUCCUAUAAAUACAUAGUUUAAAAACACCACAGAAUUAAGAAUAGCUGCCCUCAAGUUAAAAACAACUCCUCUUUAUAACAUUUGAAAUGCUCAACCAUAAAAGAAUGGUAUUAUAAAGAGGGUGCUGGGUACAAUCAUAUUUGAGCUAUUUUUUUGUUUAUGUGAAAUCAUAUGUUCACCAUUGUCUUGUAAUGUAUUUACAUUUUUAAGACUUUCAGUAAUUUGUCACUGGAGUUAACUCUUGUAAUAAUUUGUCACCAAUGCUGACUUUACCUGCCAAUUUUAUAAAGUAUUAUUUUGUUGACAAUAAAAUGUCAAGCUCAAUUUUAAUUGCCCUGCAUACUUUGAGAUGUAUAAAACACAGUUUCAAUAAUUAAAAAAUAUUAAAGAUAGGUGUUUUAGAUAUCAAGAUUGUUGCAGAUCAAAUUGAGAUAAUAUAUUAGAAGGAUAUUGUAAAUUGUAAUGCCUACAAAAAUACUAGGUAUCACUGAGUAAUGUUUACUAAACUGUUGCUUAGCAACAACUGUUAAACUAGUAAUAAAUACAUUAGUGUUACUCUAUUAUGUUAGUGAGGCUAAUUUUUCUUGUUUAUGUUUGAUUUUAAGGGGUGCGCUUUUAAUAUUAAUAGCCUAUAAUUUAGAUUCAUUUAUAAGAUUUGUUUGAGCAUUUGAUUGGACAUUUGAAAAACGUAAGUUUGCUAACCCAUAGUGGAGAAAUCAGUCUAUCAGUGUCAUAAGAAGCCUAACAAUAAUAAUCUAAAGUUAGGUUAUUUCAUUCUUCCUUCUUCCCUUCCCCCCCUUCCUUUCUCCUCUCUUCUUUCCCCUCCUUCCCUUCUGUCUAUUUGUCUUCCUGUCUUCAAAUUACAUUUUGGCCUCCUGUAGAAGAAGAUAUAUUAGUUUAGGGACAAGAUUACAUCUAUGCUGCCUUAAAACAUUAUAACAGACUUAACUGAUGUUACUAAUGCAGCAGAAAUGUUCCAGGAUGUUGUGUUUUGUUUUGUUUUGUUUUUUUUUUUUUUGGACUUGUUUUUUCCUCCAAUGACAUGAACUACUUUGCAUCUGUCUUACCUAAUUCUAUAUGUGGACGGUAGGUAAUUGAUGACAUUUUGAAAAGUCCCCAUGUAUUAUAACUACAGGAUGCCUAUAAUCACUUCUAAAAGCUCUGAACACAUGUUUGAAAGACUUUUGAGAAAUCAUAUUUGGGAUUUCUAUUGUCUAAGUUACAAGGCUAGAACCAAUUCCCCUGUUGCUUCCCUAUAGCAGUUUAUUUAUUUACUUAUUUUUAUUUUUAAUUUUUUAGAGAUGUUGAUCUUGCUACGUUGCCCAGACGGGUCUCAAACUCCUGGGCUCAAGGAAUCCUCCCACUUCAGCCUUCCAAAGUUGUGGGAUUACAGACAUGAACCACCACUCCUCUGGCAGUUUAGACUACACUAAAUAUUAGGUUGUUAUAUAAAUCAUGAGAAAUAACUAUGUUGUAGUCAUGUUUUUGUAAUCGUUUGUGUAUCCUGCAUAAUGAGCCUGCCAGGCCCAGUUAAAAUAGUCAUAUUUUAUAUAUAGUCAUAGUCAUAUUUUAUACAUAUAGAGGUACGAGGUGAGUGAAAUUCUAAAAAAACAAAAAAAACAAAAAAAAAACUCAGGCAAUUAGAGCUAUGAGCCCUGGAGAGAGAAGCAUAAAUUUGCGUCAUUUUAUUUUUAUUGAAUAAGUUUGUAGGUAGAAUUUUACAACUGUAAACCUUAAAACUAUUUGCUUGUUAUUUGUUUCUCACAAGUUAUAAACAUAAAUUAUUUUUAUAGGGGCCUAGUUUUAGAAGGCUGAAAUUCCCUCCCAGAUUUGUUACUACCUACCACUCCAAAGAAGAAAACAGUGUGCAAGCUAGAAAAUAUGACAAACCCAACUAGGGGUUUGAGAGAACAGAGCAGGGAGGAAAGUGGAUUACAACUUUGAGGUUGACAAAUUUCUUUCUUUUGAUGAGCAUUUGUUAUUUACUAAAUAUUAUCUCAAAAACUAACCUAUAGAGAUUUUUUUUCCACUUAAGAAUUUUCUCAAUAUAGAAAAAUUCAAAAAGAAGGUAAGCUUUAGUAAACCUGCUUAUGGAGUUUUCAGUCUUAUUAAGAUUACAAAGUAAGUCUAGAGGUUUCUUAAAACUGACAAGUUGUACCAUUCAGUUCAGAAACUUGUUUUGUGCAAUAUUUGCUGCACAUUGCUUUUCCUAAGUAACUUCUUAAAAAUUAUGAUUUUUAAAAAUCUUUUUCUUUUCCUUUUUUAAAGAAAAACUGGUGUGUACAGAUCCCAGUAUAAAUUAAGGAUAUGAAAAAUGUUGUAUUACACCAGUGUUUUUUAGUUUGACUGUGGUAUCAGUGGAUUUUUUCUGAGGGAGGAAGGUCUAAAAUUUCCUUCUGUGACAUUAAGUUUUAACUGUUAAUGGAUAUUUGAGGAUAUGCCCAAACUUUAACUACUUAAAAUACAAACUAAUAAUUUUUACUCUAUUGCUAUUUAAUUUGAGCUUUAUAAGAUACCGUUUUUUAAGUUAUUUAGCAAUGAGUUCAGGUUUUUUGUCUAAAUUAUUUAUGACUUCAUAGACUUUCAGAGACAUUUUUUCUAAGCUUUUAUCUUUCCAGAGUAGUUCUCAUGAGAUUUUGUCCUGUUUAAAAUGAGAUACACCUAAUAAUUUUAAUUGCCUAAAUGGUUUUCUGUUUAGAUCUCUUAUAUUUAUUAAAUGUAGUUGAGUAUAUGAAAUUUUCUAGUUUAUGAGUAUAUGGUAAUUGUAUAUGAGAAUAAGGUAUUUUUGUGUGGAACAUGUAUUACUUUAAAACCUUACAAAGAAUAUAUGUCUAAUAUUUUUACAAAGAACUUGAGUUUUGUACAUCCCCAAAUCUAAUAAUCAAAUUUCCAAUUGAUAAUUUAGUAAGACUGGAUUAACAAAAAACUGAAACAUUUGAUAUUUCAGCUAUAAUUAUCUUAAUGUUUUCUCUAAAAGAUUAACAUAGAAAUUAGAUAAUUUGCAUCACUUAGAAAUUUUACUGGUGAAAAUUAUAAAAGAUAAGUCAGAUUCAAAUUCUUUAAAUAUUUUGUUGCUUGUCCUGUAUAUAAUUUCAUUUAAUAAUAUUUUUUAAAGACUGUGAACAUCUUUCUUUAAACCUUUUUAUUUCCUUGCCAGGAGUUUUUUCAUAGCAAAAUAAAUUGUGUUUUUUGUUUCUCAAAAAUACUGACAGUCUAAAGAAUGUUAAGCUUAAUUUGAAAACAUAAUGCAUAGCGGUGACCAACUCAUCAGAGAUAAGGGGUAGAUAUUUUUGUCAGAUUAUUUAUUAAAAUUCAUUCAUAUUUUUAACGUGAAUUUUUACCUGACCUCUCCCUAACACCUUCUCUUAAAACAUCAUGAUUUAGAAAACAGGGAAAAGUAAAAAUUUUAGAAGCUGCUAACCAAUUGAGAUGAAUGUGAAGAUUAACUUUAUAAAGCCCUGUUGCAUAUUCUGGGUCACUGUGUGUGUGUAUGUGUGUGUGUGUGUGUGUAGUUGGGAUGCUAGAUAGAUGCCAUGCCAGUUGCAGAAUCCUGACCCACAGAAUGUGGGAAAUAUAUCCAUAUCCAUAUUCAUAUCUAUGUCUAUAUACACACACAUACAUAUACACAUAUAUAAAGUAUAAGAGCACUACAGUUGGUCUCUCCAGAGUCUGUCAUUGCAUAUUUUCAGAAAGAAUACACUCUAAUCAAUUUUCUAAAAAUUAAAGUUAACUUUUAAGUGUUCUUCAAGCAUAUGGAUUUUAAAAUAAAACCUGAAAAAUAGAAGCUAUAUUUUUAAAGCAAAAUUCAACCUAUAUAUUUGUAUAUAUUUCUAAAUGUGCAUGGGAAACUUGAAUCUAGAUAACUCAUUAUUUUGUUAAUAAUAUAUUUUUAAUGUAUCUGUGCAUUUAAAAAGAUCUUAAAACCAAAGUAAAAAUGUUACCCUCACCUAACCAUGGUAUAUUUAAAUUCAAGCAGUACUUUGAAGUAUAAAAAUGCAGAUAAUAGUAUUUUCUUUAAUGCACUGGGAUGAACAUUCUAUUUUUUAAUAUUUCAUGUAAGAUUUCUUUUUAAAUGUCUAAUCUUGGAGCUCAUAUUCAACUUUUCAAAUAUUAGUAAUUUGAGAAUAAAGAGCUAUAGAAGUUAAAUUCACUUACAUAAAAUUCACUUUAAAAGAAAAUGCAUGAUUACAGAUAGAAUGAUUACUUUUAAGUUUUAGUUAAACAUAGAAAAUAUCUGCCCAUUAUCAUCAGUGUAUGCUUUUUUUUUUUUUUUUUUUUUUUUUUUUGCAAGUAAUUUACUUUCCCCAAAUGUGCUUAAAAUGGGUUUUCUGGCAUAACUGUUUGAAUUGUAAAAUGUACAUGAUUUAUUUUAGUAUUGUAAAAAAAAA